UCGAGAAUCAUUCACAAUGGGGGAAACCCUGAUGGUGCGACGCCGCGUGGGGGAAGAAGGUCUUCGGAUCGUAAACCCCUGUCAUGUGGGAGCAAGCAGCGAUGUAGAUAGUACCACAAGAGGAAGAGACGGCUAACUCUGUGCCAGCAGCCGCGGUAAUACGUAGGUGGCGAGCGUUGUCCGGAAUUAUUGGGCGUAAAGGGAGCGUAGGUGGGAAAGUAAGUCUUGUUUAAAAGUGCGGAGCUCAACUCCGUAAAGGACAAGAAACUAUUUUUCUUGAGUGCAGGAGAGGGAAGUGGAAUUCCUAGUGUAGCGGUGAAAUGCGUAGAUAUUAGGAGGAACACCAGUGGCGAAGGCGACUUUCUGGACUGUAACUGACACUGAGGCUCGAAAGCGUGGGGAGCAAACA
rnacentral:rRNA from 1 species